GGGUGGGAUCUAGGCUGGCGGAAGUUGGAAAGCAGAAGGACUUGGAGAGUCGUUCCUGGACCUACUUCCACUUUCAUACCUGGCUUCAUGGUCAACCGUAAUAUAUCAUCAGAGACAGACACAGAAGAAGCUUUUAACAGAUGCUUAUUGGAAGAGAGAAAAAAAUGAAGAAACAAAAGUUCUGUCACGUUUUUCAAGCAUGAUGCCGCGUGUAAUCCCAGCUUCCAUUUCUCUCUUCUUGGAUGUGGAUAACAAGAGCCUCAGCUGGUAACAAAGAAAAACCCAGGAACAGCUGAACUGCCAGAGGCUGACCCCACCAACCCCCACCACGGUCAUUCCCUGAACCAAGUCUGAGAUGCUGGCGACCCAGUGGCUGACACUUGUCCUCGGGGUUUCAGAAACAGUUUCACAACAUGCUACCUUACCCUAGGAAGGAAGCAGCAUUCAUUGCUUUCAUUCCUUCGUGGGGCUCUUAGCUGCUCUUUUCUUUGAUCAGCUGGUACAGGAAAUAGUGUACGGUUUCUUAGGCACAGCCAACUCUCUCUCGCCACACCCAGACAAUGUUCUAAAGUUUUUAUUGGAUCUGAGUGUGCCAACCUUGUGCUGUGGAAUUAAGCGAGGGUUGCUAAAUAUCAUUCAUCUUGCAACAUCAGAUGUCAUUCUCUGUGUAUGUGUCCUGUCUCCCUAGACUAUGAGCAGGGGAGACAGGGUCUCUGUGUUAAUGACGACAGUGACAUCUUCAGAAAUAAUAAUGGAUAAGUUAAUCUUAGCUGCUCCUAACAUAUGCUAUGCCACUUGCAGAAACAGUAAUCUAGCAGAGUUCUACCCACAUCGGAGUCUCUUCUGUAUAUUACCCCCAGCAUCCUAAUAGAUAAAAUUGAGGGGACAAGAUAAGUGAGAGCCUUCCAAAUGGUGGCAGCUUUCUCUGCUGUGAAAAUUGGAAAGAAUUCUCAAUCCUAAAAAUAUUUAGUGGGGUGCUCACUAUGUCUGUUUUGUUCUACAAGAAUCAUAGAUGUAUUAAAACCUCAAAUCUGGAAUGGAGGCCUGCAGAGGCCAUGGGCAAACUGGUCCUACCUAGAUAAAGAGGACUUCAAAACAUGAAGAACAGUGAAGAUUUCUCCACGUUCAGAAUCAAAAGUACCUAUCACAGCCUUCCUGUAAGCAUACUACAUACUAAACACCAUUCAGGUGCACAAUCUACAUUGCUCCAUUUAGCCUCAGCUACGGUGUCAAGGAUAAGAUACUAUUUCAUCUGUUUCCUACAUCAACAAGCAAGGUUCUAGCUAAGCAUGGUGGCACAUGGCCUGUAAUUUCCGCUCCCGGGAGCCUAAGAUAAGGGGAUCCAGUGUUCAAAGCCAACUUGGGCUACAUAGCAAGACCCUGUCUUGCAUAUCUUUAAAAUAAACAAACAAACAAAUAAACAAAUAAAUAAGGUUCUUUGAAGGAAAGUGGCUUGGCUAGGUGCUGGGUUGGCUGAGGGAUCUCAUGGGACAUCUCAUGUGACAUCACAUGUCCUCCUGUCACCUGCUAUCCACACAUCACUUCUGUGAUAUGCUCAUGAGCCCAGAUGCCACCUCUACAAAAGAACCUCAUUAAUUACUCCAUUAAAUUUUGUUCUUUACUCAUAAAUAUUUUCUUUACAUUCUGACAAAGGAACAAUAAUUAGUUCUGCUCUAGUCACAGAACAAAAGGAAGUCAUCAGUGUCUCAUUUUCUAGUGUGUACAAAGCUUUGCUAUAUGACAUGCUAUCUCAUACAUGUCCAGGUAUUAAUGCCACACUGAAAAACCAUUAAUAUUGCUAUUCCUGCUUAGAGAGAUGAAGACAUUAACACAUCCAGAUCAUUAGCUGUUCGGUCUUAGGUACUCUAUGAGAUUGGAGGGGAGAGAGAACAAUUGUUAUCUUAAGCCUAUUUUAAAUGGUAAAUGUAAACUUUGCUUUUUCUCCAGAUGCUUCCUUGCAUCUAUUUUUUUUUUAAUUUGAAAAAACCCCAGAUCUAUCUCUUUCUCUGGCAAACAGAACUAGUGCUACUCACACUAGGUUCUGCUGGACUGAGGACCCCCAAGGGUUCCCAAAGUCCUCUAUGGUAUAACCGCAGCUGGUCAUCUUGCACCGAGUAGCUGCUGAACUGACUUGGGACACAUUUCAGUGCUUACGCUGCCAUUAUGGUCAAAGGUCAGCCUUCCAAAUGAGUGCUGACUGGCAGGAAGAGCAGAAGUUCUGAAGAAAAUGCUGUGUGCCUUUGAACCUCAGAUCUCAUCCAGGAUUGAGUCACAGUGAACAGUGGAGAGUCUCAAGAGUUUUGUUUGCUACAAAAACAAAUAGGAAAGGGAAGAGAACAAAGGAACCAGUCUCCCUGGCCCCCUCCCUCCCCCAUCCCUCCCACCUCCCUUACCUCAGCCCUCACCUCUAGUUCUGCAGAGAAAGCACAGCAGGCUAACUGAAGUCACUGUCCUGAAGCGGGGCCUUCCAUCAUAUUUCAGAUCACUCUCUCUCCCUUUCCUGACAGCACCUUCUGCUUCAAGCCCUCUACCAGGCUUAGCUCAUAUUCAACUGCUGACCCUGGUUCUGGUUCCCUGUAGAAAUUAGAAGCCACCAGGAAAAUAGCUUUCCUGAACUCCCACUUACCAGUCUGCCCACAGCUCCAUCUACAUGAGCAGGCUGCUCUUCCCGCUACAGUGUAUGAACCUCUAUACUUCUAGCUAAAGACGACCUAUAUCUGCAUCGAAGCAUCCGUCUGCUGGUGCCCCCUCAGAGACUUUGUUCCAUCCAAUGGUGCAUCUCUCUCCUAUGAGCCAACAAGCAAACUGUUUAUCAAUGUUCAAAACCCGUGCCUUAACUGCACUGCCACCUCUGGCUCCUCUCCCAUUUCUUCGCUCCCCCAAUAAUAACGACUAUCAGGACUUGCCUCUCUUCCGUGUCUUCUGCUCUUUUUCUUUCCCUCCACCUCCACAUGUUCCCAUUACAAACUAAUUCUCAUACUUUAUCUUACUUGCUCUAGAAGUGUCACAACCGUGGGGGUCAUGGUUUUAUUCCUAAAGUUGCUGGGUUUGUUUUCUGAACCAUUGUUCUUGCUUGGUCCUCUACCUACUCCAUUAGCUGCUCUUUCCCUGUCUUGAUUAGUUCCUUUAUUGGUUCCGAUCAUAUAUGAUCUUCCUCUAAAUGUACAUGAAGCCAGGACUUGUUCUCUGGGUCUUCAGCAUGUGAGAUUUCUCCACUCAUGAUCUUCUUUCCUCGUGGAUUUAAACACUACAUUUGUUCCAAUAGUUUUCUGACUUGUAACUUAAUUCUAAUAAUUCAUCUAGCCACAUCUUGGUAAGUGUAACUGUCAGUGACUAUCUUCACCUGGGCUUGUAAAGGCAUUUCUGAUUUACCACACCAAAAAUAAUGACUUCUUAAUUCGUGGUCUUCAAACCUGCUCAUCUUACAAGCGCUUCGAUCUCAUUAAGCUGUAGCUUCAUUCUUCCUGCUGCUGAGGUCAAAACCUUGGACUAAUUCCUGGCUUCUCAUGUCCCCCUGCUCUCCAUAGCAGCAGGGAUUCUCUCUCCAGAAUUCAGAACAUGACCACAUCUUGCUAUUUUCACUCCUGCCACCUUAGUUCCACCCUCCACUAUCUCUUUCCUAUGUUACUUUAAGGCUAUCUAGCUCACCUCUUUCCUUCUAAUCAUGUUCACAUCAUACUGGACAGCAGUCAGAAUGAUCUUCUAAAAUGUAAGAUGGGCCAUGUUAUUCCUCUGCUCAAAAACCCUCGUUCAUCACGUGUGGCACAGAGUAAAAUCCAAUGUUCUUAUUAUUUGUGCUAGAUCAGCAGCACAACCUUAGGAUUUGGGGGGCUUCAGUUUUGGGUUUGAUUUCUAUGUGAUGGACUGGCAGGCAUGUAUGGCUUUUCUCCCUUUAUUCAGAUUUAGCCAUCACCUUGUCUCCUCUUUCACACUCAGUCUCUACUUGCAAAUGCCAUCAACUGUAUCUUCAAAUCAUCCCACAAACCUAAUCUCUUCUCAUCACCUUCACAGCCUCAGCCUGAGCUGCCUUGAUCCUGACAACACUAUUUUAGAGCAUCCUCGCUGGCCUCUGGCUUGUUCUCACUUGUAGCUUUCAGAGUAACCUUAAUGAAAUGUAAUUGACAUCACAGCAUUCUUGUUUUUAAACCCUCAAUAGUUUCCCACCUCAGAGAAAAUCCCAAGUUCUUCACUACAUAUGAACAGGCAAUGGUGGAUAUACUCAUAAUAAGUAUAAAUUUGGAGAGGUGGUAGGACCAGAAAUCUUAAGUAUUGAAGAAUUAAUCUUAGGGCAUCAAAGGGAGGGAGGCAUUUUAUCAUCUCAAAAAAAUGUAGCCAUGAGCAGAAAUUUAGGAACAGAGUAGUUGUGACAGUGGCUUAGGGCUGACAGGGGAUGCAUUCACAAGAUACAAAGCAUGUGAGAAUUCUUCCUCUGAAAGAUAAGCUGAGAGGUGGAUGAUAGACUAAAGGGAGUUAUUGUUCAAUCUCAGGAAAUGGGAGACCUUGGAGGCUCAGCUGAAACAGACCGCUUCAGACAGAGGCAGGGCAUGCAUUUGAAUGAGCCAGAAAGGAAGGAAGGACUGAGGGACUAUGGGUAAUUCAUCAUGGAGAAAGAUUCCAAAGAUAAUAAAUAUAUAUGAUUUGAAAGUUUCUCUGAUAUGGAUUAUAUGUAUUGAAUAACCUGAUGUCUUUAGAAUCCAUAGUGAACUCUUAGCAAAGGUUAUUACAAUCAAAACAUCAUUCAAUUCCAGAUAUAUUUUCCUUUACUAAAUAUGUUUUUCAAUAUCAUGACUAUGAAGUAUGUAUUUUAACUUAGUAUGGGGUCUCCAGUACAGUAAGAAUGAUCAACAUUUUGAAAAGAGAGAUUUUCGAAACCUAGAGGACCAUUUUAUUGAGAAUUACAGGGCCGUGUUCACAAUGUUCUACUGAAAAAUGAGGAACAAAAUAAUCAAUAUUUUCAGCUGUGAAAGAGAUACUUAAGCAUGUCCAAGUGCUACAGAAACUAGAUAGCAAUAGAAUCCAGAUAAGUAGGCUGCAGACUCCGUGCACAAGGCUAAAUUAUGGAGCCUUCAUCAUUUUAUACAUGGGCAUGAAUUCCUGGUUAUAUGCUUAUAAUCAGCCCAUGCCCGUACCUAACCAUCACAAAGCCUCUAAUACCUUCCCUGCCUUUUCAAAGGCAAAAGACGACCUCCCUUCUUCCACCCUUGCUCACUUAUCAUGUUGGCUCCGCAGUAGCGAUCUUCCAAGCUGUCAGUAUUGCUUCUCUGCUCCAAGACACACAUGCUUUCCAUGUCACUGGGAAGACAGUCCAGUGGAACUCUAACAACUUAAUCAGAGCACAAGGAGCCACAAGCAGGUGAGUGUUUUCCUCAAGAUGUUCUUCAUCAGGUACACAUUACAAGUACACGUCCAAACUCUUCAUAAGACAGCCUUGGCAAAUGGAGUACUCCCCAUCCAGUCUUUCAGAAUCCAAUGUCCUUAAGACUUCUCAUUGUUCUCUUUCUGUCUCUCUCUCUCUCUGUCUCUGUCUCUCUCUGUCUCUCUGUCUCUCUCUCUGUCUCUCUCUGUCUCUCUGUCUCUGUCUCUGUCUCUGUCUCUGUCUCUGUCUCUCUCUGUCUCUCUCUGUCUCUCUGUCUCUGUCUCUCUCUGUCUCUCUCUCUGUCUCUCUGUCUCUCUGUCUCUGUCUCUCUCUCUGUCUCUCUGUCUCUCUGUCUCUGUCUCUCUCUCUGUCUCUGUCUCUCUGUGUGUGUGUGUGUGUGUGUGUUUGUGUGUGUGUGUGUGUACAUAAUUGCACGCAUGCAAAGAGGCCAAAAGAAGGCAUCAGACCCCCUAGAUCUCGAGUGACAGGCAGUUGUGAGUUGGGUGCUUGAAACAGCAAAGGUGAAGACAUCCCAUUGUCCUUUCUGUUAUCCUCACAAAGUCCCCCACUCUGUCAUGUUCCCACUAUAGUCAACCCAAAGGAGGCCCUGGCCUGUUGUGGCCUGCAUAGUCAUAGCCUUCCCCAUGACUUCUCUCCGUGGCAGUCACACCUCCGGCUUAGUUGAAUGGUGGGCUUCAUGUUGGCUGUCUAUUGCUAGUGUGCUGUUACAUUUACUCUUUGACAGACUUGGGCAGCUUUCUCCUGAGCUAUUCCAGAGGUGUAGGAAACUGUGGGCUCCACACCCCACGUCCAGUAGCAGACUUACUGAGCAGUGACCGGUUUUCUGCAGUAUCAAUAGGAACCAGAUGAGCGCGGCAGAAUCUGCUAUCCACUCCUGAGCUUUUCCACCUGCCUUCUGUUCGCCCUCUGGAGCCACACUCAUACCCUGGCUCUCGCUCAGGGUCUGGGACUCAGACGGGCACAGCAUGCCAGAGACCGCAGGAAACCCUCUCCCGCCUAUGGGUUCAAUCCUUCAUUCUUAGAAUGGCUUCCCACCGCCUUCACCCCUACCCCGCAGUGGAGAGCAAGACAACCUCUUGGAAGGAUUUUUCUAUAUGUGUGAAUGGAAUGGAGAGAUGACUGAUGGCCUGAUGAAUUGUGCACUGAACUCUGACUUUUAGGCACUAAAUAUAGACAGCGCACAUGCUGGACAAGCUAAAUAUAGCAGUGUUGGCAAGAAGGGGUGAGGGCGACUCUCCUGGGAUAGACUGGAUGGAGACUGAGCGGUAAACCCACAGCUGCCCACAGCUGCCCACAGCUGCCCACAGCUGCCCACAGCUGCCCACAGCUGCCCACAGCUGCCCACAGCUGCCCACAGUUGCCCACAGCUGCGAGUUAAUUUAUCGCCCCUGCCGGGAAGAGGUUCACUUCAAUUUCAUCCAGGCAUGAUUUGUUUGUCAGAGUGUUUGUUGGGAACCAUCUUUCUGUUUAUAAAACUAACAAGCACGGAGCUCAGGUUGCCUCUGUCUGCCUCCAACAAGUAAACCUUCUCCACUGGGCUACAAGUGCUGUCCUCGUUGGGGUGACUUCGGAUCUCCUGGUGGGUUAUUUCUAAUUCUGUCCCACACUGCCCCAGAUCUUUCUUGUUUUGUUAGAUAAGAUGGCUCUAAUUAUUGAGGCUGAAGGUCAGGAUGAGAAUGGAUCGCUAAGGCUGCCAAACUGUACGCCCCGAAGCGCCCUUUCUGGUUCAAGAACACAACCCGCCCCCACCCGCCCCCGCCGGGCAUACUCAGAAAAAGCCACUUAGCUCUCCAUCUUUGCUCGGGUUAGGGCCAAUGGCUGGAGAAAGAGUCCUUCAGCACCCUGCUUCUCUCCCAGCAGCUCGAGAAGACAGCAUUCGG